rnacentral:tRNA from 1 species
UCCCAGAUGGCUCAGAGGUUAAAGCAUCUGCCUGCAAUGCGGGAGACCUGGGUUCGAUCCCUAGGUCAGGAA